rnacentral:rRNA from 1 species
AGUGCAUGUGGUGGAUGCCUUGGCAGUCAGAGGCGAUGAAAGACGUGAUAGCCUGCGAAAAGCUCCGGGGAGGCGGCAAAUAUCCUUUGAUCCGGAGAUGUCUGAAUGGGGGAACCCACCUACUUUAAGGUAGGUAUUGCAACAUGAAUACAUAGUGUUGCAAGGCGAACGAGGGGAAGUGAAACAUCUCAGUACCCUUAGGAAAAGAAAUCAAUUGAGAUUCCCUCAGUAGCGGCGAGCGAACGGGGAUCAGCCCAUUAAGUUAUGUGUGUUUUAGUGGAACGCUCUGGGAAGUGCGAACGUAGAGGGUGAUAUUCCCGUACACGAAAGGGCACACAUAAUGAUGACGAGUAGGGCGAGGCACGUGAAACCUUGUCUGAAUAUGGGGGGACCAUCCUCCAAGGCUAAAUACUCCUGACUGACCGAUAGUGAACCAGUACCGUGAGGGAAAGGCGAAAAGAACCCCUGUGAGGGGAGUGAAAUAGAUCCUGAAACCGCAUGCAUACAAGCAGUGGGAGCACCUUCGUGGUGUGACUGCGUACCUUUUGUAUAAUGGGUCAGCGACUUAUAUUCAGUAGCGAGGUUAACCGUAUAGGGGAGCCGUAGAGAAAUCGAGUCUUAAUAGGGCGUUUAGUUGCUGGGUAUAGACCCGAAACCAGGCGAUCUAUCCAUGAGCAGGUUGAAGGUUGGGUAACACUAACUGGAGGACCGAACCCACUGUCGUUGAAAAGCCAGGGGAUGACUUGUGGAUAGGGGUGAAAGGCUAAUCAAGCCUGGUGAUAGCUGGUUCUCCCCGAAAGCUAUUUAGGUAGCGCCUCGGACGAAUACCAUAGGGGGUAGAGCACUGUUUCGGCUAGGGGGUCAUCCCGACUUACCAAACCGAUGCAAACUCCGAAUACCUAUGAGUACUAUCCGGGAGACAGACUGCGGGUGCUAACGUCCGUAGUCAAGAGGAAAACAAUCCAGACCGCCAGCUAAGGCCCCAAAAUCAUAGUUAAGUGGGAAACGAUGUGGGAAGGCAUAGACAGCUAGGAGGUUGGCUUANGAAGCAGCCACCCUUUAAAGAAAGCGUAAUAGCUCACUAGUCGAGUCGGCCUGCGCGGAAGAUGUAACGGGGCUAAAACUAUGUGCCGAAGCUGCGGAUUUGACAUUAGUCAAGUGGUAGGGGAGCGUUCUGUAAGCCGAUGAAGGUGUAUUGAGAAGUNGAAGCAGCCACCCUUUAAAGAAAGCGUAAUAGCUCACUAGUCGAGUCGGCCUGCGCGGAAGAUGUAACGGGGCUAAAACUAUGUGCCGAAGCUGCGGAUGUAUACUUUGUAUACGUGGUAGGGGAGCGUUCUGUAAGCCGAUGAAGGUGUGUUGAGAAGCNNNNNNNNAUGCUGGAGGUAUCAGAAGUGCGAAUGCUGACGUGAGUAACGACAAAACGGGUGAAAAACCCGUUCGCCGAAAGACCAAGGGUUCCAGUCCAACGUUAAUCGGGGCUGGGUGAGUCGACCCCUAAGGCGAGGCCGAAAGGCGUAGUCGAUGGGAAAAUGGUUAAUAUUCCAUUACUUCUGUGUAAUGCGAUGAGAGGACGGAGAAGGCUAAAUCAGCCUGGCGUUGGUUGUCCAGGUGAAAGGAUGUAGGCAUGUAUCUUAGGCAAAUCCGGGGUACUCUAUGCUGAGAUCUGAUAGCAAGCUGUACUUGUACAGCGAAGUGGUUGAUGCCAUGCUUCCAGGAAAAGUCUCUAAGCUUCAGUUACACAGGAAUCGUACCCGAAACCGACACAGGUGGUCAGGUCGAGUAGACCAAGGCGCUUGAGAGAACUCUGCUGAAGGAACUAGGCAAAAUGGUACCGUAACUUCGGGAGAAGGUACGCUGUUGUUGGUGAUGGAACUCGCUUCCUGAGCUGACGACAGCCGCAGAAACCAGGCCGCUGCAACUGUUUAUUAAAAACAUAGCACUCUGCAAACACGAAAGUGGACGUAUAGGGUGUGAUGCCUGCCCGGUGCUGGAAGGUUAAUUGAUGGGGUUAGCGUAAGCGAAGCUCUUGAUCGAAGCCCCAGUAAACGGCGGCCGUAACUAUAACGGUCCUAAGGUAGCGAAAUUCCUUGUCGGGUAAGUUCCGACCUGCACGAAUGGCAUAAUGAUGGCGGCGCUGUCUCCAGCAGAGGCUCAGUGAAAUCGAAAUCGCUGUGAAGAUGCAGUGUACCCGCGGCUAGACGGAAAGACCCCGUGAACCUUUACUGCAGCUUGACACUGAACUUUGACCUUACUUGUGUAGGAUAGGUGGGAGGCUUUGAAGCUGGAACGCUAGUUCCAGUGGAGCCGUCCUUGAAAUACCACCCUGGUAAUGUUGAGGUUCUAACUCUGUCCCGUGAUCCGGGACGAGGACCGUGUCUGGUGGGUAGUUUGACUGGGGCGGUCUCCUCCUAAAGAGUAACGGAGGAGUACGAAGGUGCGCUCAGCGUGGUCGGAAAUCACGCGUAGAGUAUAAAGGCAAAAGCGCGCUUAACUGCGAGACCCACAAGUCGAGCAGGUACGAAAGUAGGUCUUAGUGAUCCGGUGGUUCUGUAUGGAAGGGCCAUCGCUCAACGGAUAAAAGGUACUCUGGGGAUAACAGGCUGAUACCGCCCAAGAGUUCAUAUCGACGGCGGUGUUUGGCACCUCGAUGUCGGCUCAUCUCAUCCUGGGGCUGAAGCAGGUCCCAAGGGUAUGGCUGUUCGCCAUUUAAAGAGGUACGCGAGCUGGGUUUAGAACGUCGUGAGACAGUUCGGUCCCUAUCUACCGUGGGCGCUGGAAAUUUGAGAGGAUCUGCUCCUAGUACGAGAGGACCAGAGUGGACGAACCUCUGGUGUACCGGUUGUGACGCCAGUCGCAUCGCCGGGUAGCUAUGUUCGGAAGGGAUAACCGCUGAAAGCAUCUAAGCGGGAAGCCUACCUCAAGAUAAGAUUUCCCUAGGACUUUAUGUCCUCUAAAGAGCCGUUCGAGACUAGGACGUUGAUAGGUUGGAUGUGGAAGCAUAGUGAUAUGUGAAGCUGACCAAUACUAAUUGCUCGUGAGGCUUGACU